rnacentral:rRNA from 1 species
UACGUAGGGUGCGAGCGUUAAUCGGAAUUACUGGGCGUAAAGCGUGCGCAGGCGGUUUUGUAAGCCAGAUGUGAAAUCCCCGGGCUCAACCUGGGAAUGGCAUUUGGGACUGCAAGGCUGGAGUGCGGCAGAGGAGACUGGAAUUCCUGGUGUAGCAGUGAAAUGCGUAGAUAUCAGGAGGAAUACCGAUGGCGAAGGCAGGUCUCUGGGCUGACACUGACGCUCAUGCACGAAAGCGUGGGGAGCAACAGG